rnacentral:tRNA from 2 species
GGGCUCGUAGCUUAGUCAGGCAGAGCGUCUGGCUUUUAACCAGACGGCCUAGGGUUCAAAUCCCUACGAGCCCGCCA